UGUUGACUUUUUAUUAUUUUGUAGCUGAUCUUUUUUAAUUUCCCAUCUUUUUAAUCAGGAAGAAGAUGAAGCAGAAGUUGAGAGUACUAAAAAAUCCCCCUCUGAAAGCACUGAUGACCUAGUUGAUGAGUACCGUCCGGGCAAGAUUCGAGGUGGCAGCAGCUAUGAAAAAAUGCUGACGAGAGAAGAAUUGGAGGAAGAACAACGGGUUGAAUUAACCCCUGACCUCACCUCGGUGUAGGUUCUAAGCCUGAUGACACUAUUUCUGUAGCAAUAUAUUGAGCAGAUGAGUAGAACCAAUCGGGAGAGCCUUUCAUGCAUGCGAAGGAAUUAAGUGGCUGUGGGCUUGAAUUUUCAGAUGUCAAGCCAAAAAAUACCGACAAGUUUAUCCUCAGUAGGGAGGUGCUGUUGAAGAUUCUGUAAUAGAUGUUGCAGUAGAGUCUAAUACAAUAGUAUACAUUUAAUUUAGUCACUUAAUUCACUGUACUUUCAGUUAAGAGCUACAUAUUGCAGACUAUCAAACACAAUGUUAAAGUUAGUGCACAGCAAACUGUAUAUCUUGGUGUAACUAAUGCAGGACAACCCUUUUUUUUUGUUUCUCUGAACAAUGCAAAAUUGUUUGGUUUGUUUAAGCCUUAAAGCGGAAUUUAACAGGGUUGUAGUGUAUUAACUCUUUUUCUGGGGAUGUUUUAGUUCAAGAUGGAUUUGUAAUUUUGAAAUGGCAACAUUUGCUUUAUCUAUUACAUAUGUCUCUACCUUUUUUGACCAUGUUCAAUAAAGUCUCGAUUACUAGA